rnacentral:lncRNA from 10 species
GAGGGCUGAGGUGUUCACACCUGCCCACGGCAGCCUGCCUCGCCCUCAAGCGCCUCAAAGCUUCCUAAGCGCUUACAUUGGUCUUGGGACAGCCGACUUUGGCUUCUUUGUUUGUUUGAGGGACCGCGGAAGUGGCGGGGAAUGUGCCCCCGCUUGAGACCGCUUAUUGUGAGCCCUCAACGGAAAUCCUGCACGGAAGGCAACCGCCUCCCCGCUCGCGAAGGCUUCAUUUGCUCUGAGUUAUCAUUGAGAACUAAAUGGAGAAGAAAAGAACUGAAGGCCUGAAGAUAUGUCAUCUGUAGAAAAGAUGGACAUCUGAAAUCAUCAAACCCUUGAGAGAAACAGCCCUCAUUCUUUUAUGAGACAACCUGGAAGAAAACAGGACUCUGAAGAUUUGUCUCCAUAUUCUCUGGAAAGAUGUACUCUGUUUGCAAUAAGAGGGAGCCACAUGGUUUAUUAGAUGGUUAUUAAUUGAGCAUUCUGUGCAAAGAAGUUUGUGCCUUAGUUAUAUUGAAAAGAAGAAAAUCUCUCCAGUUUCAGAAACACUGGCCUUUUGGAUACUGAGGAGUUGGAAAUGGAAAGGGGAUUUUAAUGAGUUUCUCGGCAAUGAGGCUAGAGAAAAUAUUAUCCAUCUCCCCCUGUUCUCCAAUUCAGCAGCUCGGACUCCUGUUUUCAUCACAGUCCUGUUAGAUAAUUACAGCCCCAAAGGCCUCCUGUUCCUUCUUUCUGUGUUCCCUGAAUCUUCUUUCCCAGAGCCAGGACCUCUUGGAAAUUCUCAGCCUCUGUUAGUUGCCCGCUCUGGGAGCCCGACUCCUCACAUCCGUCAUCUCUUUCUUCUCCCCCUUCACCUGCUGUAGUGUCCCCACUGUCUCUCUUUACCUCAGCUCCUUACCAUUCCUUUCCCUCUACACCCUUUUCCUUUGGUUCAUAGUCAGGAUGUGCUAGUUGCAUUCAAGCCCUUUUUGAUACUAAGAAUUCAGGGGGACAAAUCCAAACCCUGGAGACUACUGUCUUCCCCUUAGUGAUGCUAAUGAAUAUAAUUCCUGAUCUGAAAUUACCUGCACUUUAUUUGGCUCCAUCUACUUUUCUGCCACUUACUCCCUGUAUAACCAUAGGCUACGUACCCUACCUCUCUCUGGGUUUGUUUACUCCUCAGUUAAAAGGAGGAUUAAAAUGGCAAUCACAACACCUUGCUACAGAUAUGUUAGGAAGAUUAAAUGGGAUAACAUGCAGGGUGCCUAGCCUUCCUGGCAUAUAGUAAAUGCCUAUAAAAUAUAACAAGUGUCAUGUAUUAUUAUUAAAUUGUAUCUACCUGGUAGAA